rnacentral:misc_RNA from 1 species
CUAAUAUAACAUGAACUUUCCAUCAGAUAGAAUAUGAAUGGAACUUAUUUAUUUUACAUAUACCCGUAUGGAUCUGUGGUACAUAGAUUUAGUACAAACAAUGAAUUUGGUAAAAAAGAAAAAUCUAUGCUGAAGAGGAGAAAAUUGGCCUAUGAACUGUAAAGAAUUAAAACAAUGCCUCAGUAUAAUAUAUCUUUUCUCUAAAUAUACCUAUAAUACCUCUCAUGUACAGUACAUACAUA